rnacentral:rRNA from 1 species
AGAGUUUGAUCCUGGCUCAGGAUGAACGCUAGCUACAGGCUUAACACAUGCAAGUCGAGGGGCAGCAUGUUGGUUGCUUGCAACCAAUGAUGGCGACCGGCGCACGGGUGAGUAACGCGUAUCCAACCUACCCUUGUCCAUCGGAUAACCCGUCGAAAGGCGGCCUAACACGAUAUGCGGUUCACCGCAGGCAUCUAACGUGAACGAAAUGUGAAGGAGAAGGAUGGGGAUGCGUCUGAUUAGCUUGUUGGCGGGGUAACGGCCCACCAAGGCGACGAUCAGUAGGGGUUCUGAGAGGAAGGUCCCCCACAUUGGAACUGAGACACGGUCCAAACUCCUACGGGAGGCAGCAGUGAGGAAUAUUGGUCAAUGGGCGAGAGCCUGAACCAGCCAAGUAGCGUGCAGGAUGACGGCCCUAUGGGUUGUAAACUGCUUUUAUAAGGGAAUAAAGUGAGAGUCGUGACUCUUUUUGCAUGUACCUUAUGAAUAAGGACCGGCUAAUUCCGUGCCAGCAGCCGCGGUAAUACGGAAGGUCCGGGCGUUAUCCGGAUUUAUUGGGUUUAAAGGGAGCGUAGGCCGGAGAUUAAGCGUGUUGUGAAAUGUAGACGCUCAACGUCUGCACUGCAGCGCGAACUGGUUUCCUUGAGUACGCACAAAGUGGGCGGAAUUCGUGGUGUAGCGGUGAAAUGCUUAGAUAUCACGAAGAACUCCGAUUGCGAAGGCAGCUCACUGGAGCGCAACUGACGCUGAAGCUCGAAAGUGCGGGUAUCGAACAGGAUUAGAUACCCUGGUAGUCCGCACGGUAAACGAUGGAUGCCCGCUGUUGGUCUGAAUAGGUCAGCGGCCAAGCGAAAGCAUUAAGCAUCCCACCUGGGGAGUACGCCGGCAACGGUG